GUACACGCUGUGACUAGCAUAUCAAUAAGCGGAGGAAAAGAAACUAACAAGGAUUCCCCUAGUAACGGCGAGUGAAGCGGGAAGAGCUCAAAUUUGAAAUCUUAAAGGGUUUCCCUUUACGAAUUGUAGUUUAAAGAAGUGUUUUCUGUUGAUGUUUUGGUAAAAGUUCUUUGGAAUAGGACAUCAUAGAGGGUGAGAAUCCCGUAUUUGACCUUUACUUUCAACUUUGUGAUACACUUUCAAAGAGUCGGAUUGUUUGGGAAUGCAGUCCAAAAUGGGUGGUAAAUUUCAUCUAAAGCUAAAUAUUGGCGAGAGACCGAUAGCGAACAAGUACCGUGAGGGAAAGAUGAAAAGAACUUUGAAAAGAGAGUUAAACAGUACGUGAAAUUGUCAAAAGGGAAGCGUUUCGACACCAGUGUUGUUUUUUCUGAAAAUCAAUUAAAGAAGCUGUUUAUGCUAAGUUGUUUAGACUUUAUCAACUAACUGUUUAGUUUUGAGCUUUUCUUUAAUGCACUUUUUCAGUUAACAAGUCAACAUCAAUUUCUUUUGCUGUAAAAAAGCUUGAGGAAGGUGGCUUGAGAUUCGUCUUAAGUGUUUAUAGCCUCUUGCCUAUGCAGUCGGAGAGAUUGAGGUCUGCAGCGUAGAUCCUUCGGGGCUAAAUGCAUUUGUGCUAAGUUAUAACAUUUUAUAGACAACUUGUUGACUAUGAUUUGUCUUGUAGCUUACUCGCUUAUGUUAUUUUACCUACGCUUAGGAUGUUGACAGCAGUAUAGACUGU
rnacentral:rRNA from 1 species